rfam:Myotis lucifugus cont2.23521, whole genome shotgun sequence.
AAUUGUGAGUCUACCACCAUGAACAUGCCCCAUCUCAUCUGAUAUUGGAAGUUAAGCAAGGUCGAGCCUGGGUAGUGCUUGAAUGGGAGACUACCUGGGAAUACCAGGUCUAUAGACUUU